ACAUCUGCAUGAUGAGUGAGAAAGCUGAUAGCGAUUGCGAAAUUGACCAAUGGAUAAAGCCGUGCGCACCAGGGAUGGGAAUCCAGAACUGGAAGGCUGAAAAGAUCAUCCGGGUCACUCUGCUAGAAGAGUAAUAUUUUUCCUGUUUCAAUUUUAUAUGCAUGAAAGCCAUACGUGUUGCCCGACACGUAAUGGUUCAUUGUAAGGGCCACCUCAUGUUUAAAUUUGCAAGUUUG
rnacentral:lncRNA from 1 species